rnacentral:rRNA from 1 species
AUAGAAGAACCCCUGAUGCCGUCGAGCCAAGAAAAGUUUCUAAGUUUAGCUAAUGUUGCCCGUACCGUAAACCGACACAGGUGGGUGGGAUGAGUAUUCUAAGGCGCGUGGAAGAACUCUCUUUAAGGAACUCUGCAAAAUAGCACCGUAUCUUCGGUAUAAGGUGUGGUUAGCUUUGUAUUAGGAUUUACUCCGAAAGCAAGGAAACUUACAACAAAGAGUCCCUCCCGACUGUUUACCAAAAACACAGCACUCUGCUAACUCGUAAGAGGAUGUAUAGGGUGUGACGCCUGCCCGGUGCUCGAAGGUUAAUUGAUGGGGUUAGCAUUAGCGAAGCUCUUGAUCGAAGCCCGAGUAAACGGCGGCCGUAACUAUAACGGUCCUAAGGUAGCGAAAUUCCUUGUCGGUUAAAUACCGACCUGCAUGAAUGGCGUAACGAGAUGGGAGCUGUCUCAAAGAGGGAUCCAGUGAAAUUGUAGUGGAGGUGAAAAUUCCUCCUACCCGCGGCAAGACGGAAAGACCCCGUGGACCUUUACUACAGCUUGACACUGCUACUUGGAUAAGAAUGUGCAGGAUAGGUGGGAGGCUUUGAGUAUAUGACGCCAGUUGUAUAUGAGCCAUUGUUGAGAUACCACUCUUUCUUAUUUGGGUAGCUAACCAGCUUGAGUUAUCCUCAAGUGGGACAAUGUCUGGUGGGUAGUUUGACUGGGGCGGUCGCCUCCCAAAUAAUAACGGAGGCUUACAAAGGUUGGCUCAGAACGGUUGGAAAUCGUUCGUAGAGUAUAAAGGUAUAAGCCAGCUUAACUGCAAGACAUACAAGUCAAGCAGAGACGAAAGUCGGUCUUAGUGAUCCGGUGGUUCUGUGUGGAAGGGCCAUCGCUCAAAGGAUAAAAGGUACCCCGGGGAUAACAGGCUGAUCUCCCCCAAGAGCUCACAUCGACGGGGAGGUUUGGCACCUCGAUGUCGGCUCAUCGCAUCCUGGGGCUGGAGCAGGUCCCAAGGGUAUGGCUGUUCGCCAUUUAAAGCGGUACGCGAGCUGGGUUCAGAACGUCGUGAGACAGUUCGGUCCCUAUCUGCCGUGGGCGUAAGAAGAUUGAAGAGAUUUGACCCUAGUACGAGAGGACCGGGUUGAACAAACCACUGGUGUAGCUGUUGUUCUGCCAAGAGCAUCGCAGCGUAGCUAAGUUUGGAAAGGAUAAACGCUGAAAGCAUCUAAGCGUGAAGCCAACUCUAAGAUGAAUCUUCUCUAAGCUCUCUAGAAGACUACUAGUUUGAUAGGCUGGGUGUGUAAUGGAUGAAAGUCCUUUAGCUGACCAGUACUAAUAGAGCGUUUGGCUUAUCUUU